GUUGGGAUGUAAGAGGAGAAAUGUGCAGAAUCUUUAGUUUUGGUUGGAGACGUAGCAGGUUAUUCUAAAUAAUAAUGCAGUCAGAUGUGUUUGUGAUGUUUUGGAAGGAGAAACAUCUUAUUUCUGUUGUGUAUUUAACUUUAUGUAUUUAUGUUUUGCUUAGCAGUUCCUCCCAGGGAGGGAGCAGAACUGCACAGAUGUUGUUGACCAGAGGGAAUCUGGUCCAUCUGAUCCGGAACCAAGCGCCUUCAGGACAUCGUUUGAAGGAAAACACAUGAAACCGUAAACCGGGAGGACUUCAGGAUGAUGCCCCCCAGAAACAGUUCUUCAAAAACAGCCGCAUCUACAAAGAAUCAUGGUUUGAAAGCUUCUUCUUCUUCUCUCCUCUCUUUGUUUUCCUUUGGAAGAAAACAGACUCUGCCAAACCACAAAGAGAGAUCUUCAUCUGGGAGCGAGGGGGAAACGCUGCGGGUUGUAAACGGCGAACAUCGAUGGGAUUUACUGUCUGCUGGAACAACAACAACAGUCCCUGAGGUCGGAGUAGCGCCGGGUUCUGCCCUCCGUCCAGAACCAAGGUGUGAUUUCCAACAGCUCCUUUCAUGUGGCCCAGCAGUCCAGAGGCAAAGUUUUCUUCCUGCUGCAGUAAAAGCCUUAUCUCGCUGUGCGGAGGAGAUGCAUCACCUCGGGUCGCAGCGCUGGAGGUCUCGGCAGGAUGUGGUCGGUUUUAAAACCACGUUUGGACGCAGUUUGUCGUGUUCAGGAAUGAAUCAGGCCGGCGUCACUCUGUGGGUUUUAAAUGCUUGCGAUGAGCGACGACCCUGGAAUAUCCUGGAGAAAACGGGAAUGAUUCACUGACUGGUGCGGCGUUUUUCAUAGUAAAGAUGAAAAACUCACUGUUACUCAGAUUGAUUUA